GGGGCCAUAGCUCAGCUGGGAGAGAGCCUGCCUUGCACGCAGGAGGUCAGCGGUUCGAUCCCGCUUGGCUCCACCA
rnacentral:tRNA from 1 species